rnacentral:rRNA from 1 species
GAUGAACGCUGGCGGCGUGCCUAAUACAUGCAAGUCGAGCGAACAGACGAGGAGCUUGCUCCUCUGACGUUAGCGGCGGACGGGUGAGUAACACGUGGAUAACCUACCUAUAAGACUGGGAUAACUUCGGGAAACCGGAGCUAAUACCGGAUAACAUGUUGAACCGCAUGGUUCAACGGUGAAAGACGGUUUUGCUGUCACUUAUAGAUGGAUCCGCGUCGCAUUAGCUAGUUGGUAAGGUAACGGCUUACCAAGGCAACGAUGCGUAGCCGACCUGAGAGGGUGAUCGGCCACACUGGAACUGAGACACGGUCCAGACUCCUACGGGAGGCAGCAGUAGGGAAUCUUCCGCAAUGGGCGAAAGCCUGACGGAGCAACGCCGCGUGAGUGAAGAAGGUCUUCGGAUCGUAAAACUCUGUUAUUAGGGAAGAACAAAUGUGUAAGUAACUAUGCACGUCUUGACGGUACCUAAUCAGAAAGCCACGGCUAACUACGUG